CAGCUUCUAGUAGAGGAGUAUUUUCUAAUCCGGACGAAAAGCUGAUCGUUUUGGGAGCAACCAUACGAGAAGACACCGCGAAAUUGGUUACUACGAGCGGGAGACGAGCAAUAAAAUUGCGUUGGGGGGGUGGGCAGGGGCACAAAUCAAGCACUGCAGUGGCAGUGCAGCUAGCCUAAAGUUUGCCGAUUCCCCAUGGAGUGAACGCAACUAGACCUUGGGAGUGAGGGGGAGGCGGCCAUGGCGGUGGCGGAAGUCGGGGGAAUGCUUGCAUCUGCCGUCCUCAAGGUGGCGACCCAGAAGCUGGGCGCCGCCAUAGCGGGCCGGGUCAUGCUCCAGUGGAACUUCGACAAGGAUCUGGAGGGGAUGAAGGCCACGCUGGAGUCUGUGGACGCGGUGCUCAGGGACGCCGAGAGGCGGUCGAUCCGCGACGCGGCGGUGCGGCUGUGGCUGAGGAGGCUCAAGGACGCCGCCUACGACAUCUCCGACAUGCUCGACGACCUGGAGAACAUCACUUCCAAAUCGGAUGCGGGGAAGUUGGGAUGUGUGAUGAUCCCCAAUCUGACUAUUGCUCACAAGAUUACCCUAGCUAAUAAGAUGAAGACGAUAAGUGAUGAACUGAAGGAGAUCACUAAUCAACAUCUUAGCUUCAGAUUCACGGAAGAUAGCAGCUAUAAGGAGCACAGAGUUACUGAUAAACGGGAAACAUCGUCCAAGGUGGAAGAAGCACUAGUUGUUGGGAGGACUGCAGAGAAGCGGAUAAUUAUAUCUUCUCUGUCCAAGAGAAUGACUGAAGAGACCGUAAUCCUUCCUAUAUAUGGCAUUGGAGGCAUAGGCAAGACAACCUUGGCGAAACUGGUUUUCAACGCUUCCAAUUUCAGAGACUACUCUAAGGUCUGGAUAUAUGUGUCUCAGACAUUUGACUUGAACAAAAUUAGCAACUCUAUAAUUUCACAAGUAUCGGAAAGUGAGAGCCAGUUGACUGAAAGGGAGAUGAUAAAUAGGCGUCUUGAUGAGCUACUUUCCGGUAGGAAGAUUCUAAUUGUUUUAGAUGACCUAUGGGAGAGGGAUCAAUUUCAGUUAGAUGAUUUGAAGACUAUGUUAAAGGUUGGCAGGGGCAGCAGGGUGAUUGCCAUCGUAACCACCCGAGAUAAGGACAUUGCAGAGAAGAUUUGCACCACUGAACCGUACAAACUAGAACCCCUGACAGAUGACAUGUGCUGGAAAAUAAUAAAAGAAAAGAGUGUCUUUGAAGCAAGAGAUGACAAAGAACAAUUGGAGAAUAUAGGAAGGGAAAUAGCAUCUAAGUGUGGAGGUGUGGCUUUAGCAGCCAAAUCACUUGGAUAUACUCUGCAACCCAUGAAGUUUGAUGAAUGGGUAUCAGUGAGAAACAACGAUAUCUGGAAGGCAUCUACUUUCGAAUGUACAUCUUUGCCAUAUCAUAAUGUGCUUGCAUCCUUGUGAUUGAGCUGCAGCAAUAUGCCUCCAAACCUGAGGUUAUGCUUUGCAUAUUGUGCAAUCUUUCCAAAAGGUCACAUCAUAGUAAAAGACCAAAUAAUUCACCAAUGGAAUGCUCUUGGUUUCAUAGAGCAAUCUGACAUAUUCUCUACUAGGCAGCUUGGUGAGGCAUAUGUUAGACAGCUUUUGGGGUUGUGCUUCCUUCAACAAACAAAGGCUCCUUCAACUACUAGGGUCCAUAACGAAGAUUCUACGUUCUUAACCAUGCACGACCUGGUGCAUGAUUUUGCAAGAUCAAUCUUAUUUGAUGCAGUUCUGGAUUCUGGAAAAAAAAUCAAUAUUGGGGUAAGCAGUUGUCGCUAUGGAAUGCUCAGAGAUUGCAGCAAACCACUAGAGUUGGUUACACCUUCACCUGCAAAGAUAAGAGCACUGCAUUUUCUGGGUUGUGGCAAAAUUGAGCUUCAUGGUGUUGCAUUCUCAUCCGCUUCAUGCUUGCGAGUUUUAGAUUUAAGUGGCUGUUCCAUCCUGAGGUUACCUGCUUCUAUCGGUCAAUUAAAGCAAUUGAGGUACCUUAAUGCUCCGGGUAUGAAAAAUCGAAUGAUUCCCAAGUGUAUCACCAAGCUCUCAAAAUUAAAUUUCCUCAGCCUUUGUAGGUCUCGUGCUAUCUCAGCACUACCAGAGUCAAUUGGUGAAAUUGAAGGUCUCAUGCAUCUUGAUUUAUCAGGUUGUUCACGAUUAAAAGAGCUCCCAAAGUCAUUUGGGAAGCUCAGAAGGUUGGUGCACCUAAAUUUGUCGAAUUGCUCUCGUGUUAAAGAUGUAUCAGAAUACAUUUGUGGCCUUACCAACCUUGAAUAUUUGAACCUAUCAGUGUGCCGUAAAAUUGGAUUUCUACCGAGAACAUUGGGCAGCCUCACAGAACUUAAGUAUUUGAACCUAUCAGGUUGUUUUGGGAUAAAAGAAUUACCGAAAUCAUUUCAGCAGCUAAAAAAUUUGGUGCAUCUGGAUCUGUCAUGCUGUAAUUGUGUUAAAGAUUUGUCAGAAGCUUUAGAUGGCCUUGCAAAACUGCAGUACUUGAACUUAUCAUAUUGUCACCAUUAUGGAAACCAGUUUCGUCUGAGAGGGCUGCCAGAAGUCAUUGGCAAUCUCACCAGUCUCCGGCAUUUGCAUUUAUCGGGGUUCCUAGACAAUAUAUUUGGCAACCAAUCUGGAGUCAUGGACAAGCUCCUGGAAAUAGGGUAUUUAAAUUUAUCAACAUUCCAGGGUAAUAUUUUUCAGCAACUACCACCAGGUCAAAGUCACAGUUUCAUUGAGUGCAUCGGUGCCCUUUCAAAUCUGGAGCAUCUAAAUUUGUCUAAUAAUGUCAGCCUUUAUAGUGUACCUGAAAGUCUGGGUAACCUUAGGAAGCUACACACAUUAGACCUCACAGGUUGCAUUGGACUAUUGUGGCUACCAGAAAGUAUAAGUAAAAUUCAAAGCUUGAAAUAUGUACUUAUGAAGGAUUUGUUGAGACUUAAGUCCACACUAUCUUGUUUCAACAAUGGCCCAAUCUUGUUGCCAAACUUUGUGGUCCAAGCUGUUGACAAGAAAUCCAGCAAUCUUGGUCAGCUUCUUGAUGCAAACCCUGCUGAGUUGGACAUAAGUAGUCUUGAAAAUGUGAAGUCCACAAAAGAAGCAAAGGGAAUAAAAUUGUCAGGAAAGAGAAAUAUUGUCAAACUGAAAUUUGAUUGGACCAUAGGAACCAAGCGAUACGUGGAGGACAUGGAAGUGUUGAGAGAACUAGUGCCGCCAAGCACUGUGAAGUACUUUGAACUGCGAGGUUAUCACAGUACAAGCUUUCCUACCUGGUUAAUGGGCAUUGCACACUGUCUCCCUAAUCUUGUCAAAAUUAAGAUAGUGGAUUUGUCGAAAUGCAGCAUACUACCACUUGGUCAGUUACCAAACCUUAAACAACUGGUUCUCGGUAGAAUGAAGAGCAUAACAAAGAUCGAUGCGGACUUCUGUGGUGGUGCGAGAGCAUUUCCUCAGCUGAAGACAUUUGACAUAUACAGCAUGGAAAGGUUGCAAGAGUGGAAUACAACAUACUCUUGUGGUGAGGAUGGUGUGACUGAGUUCAUGUUCCCCAACCUUCAGUGGUUAAGCAUAAGUGACUGCCCCAAUUUGGUUGUGAAACCACUCCCGCCUAGAGUUACGUGGUGGAAAAUAGAGGGCGGUGAAAGUGUCAUAUCAUCAUGGGGAGGGAGUGUGCACACUGGUACAUCUUCAUCCUCUUGUUCAGUAACUAAUCUGGUCGUCAAAUUCUGUACGUUGCCGUUGAGUCAGUGGAGUCUGCUUCACCACCUUCCUGCCCUCCGUCACUUAACCAUCCACUGGUGCGCUGAUCUGACUAGCUCACCAGAGAUCAUUCAAGACCUCCACUCACUCAAAUCACUAUCCCUAGAUGGAAACGAACAGGCAGAGCUUCCAGAUUGGCUGGGUGACCUCCCUUCUCUUCAAGAACUAAAGAUAACCAUGUAUCCAGCGCUGACUGAGCUGCAAGAGAAAAUUAGGCAGCUCAUGUCACUACAGUCAUUGACAUUGUCUUCUUGUCAGAUGCUGACAUCAUUAGGUGAAUGGUUUGGGAGUCUCACCUCUCUCCAAGAAUUGCACAUCUCACACUGCCAAAGGCUGAACAGUUUCCCAGAGGGCAUGCAGUAUCUCACCUCCCUCUUGUCACUGCAUCUGAGUUACUGUGAGAGCAUUUCAGCACUGCCUGAAUGGUUAGGAAACCUCACAUCCCUCAAGACACUCCAGAUAUGGGAAUGCAGAGGCAUCAAGUCUUUGCCGGAGAGCAUCGAACAACUCACUAUGCUUGAACAUCUAGAAAUUUCUGGCUGUCCUGAACUAAAGCAAUGGUGUGAAUUAGAGGAUAGCAAAACGAAGCUUGCUCACAUAAAAAAUAAAUGUUUUUGGUAGUGCUGGGAGGCUAGAAGGUGUCUUCACUAAUCUCAAGCUUGCGUUACAAAUCCAGGAGCAUCUCGGCGCUAUAUGUGCUGCCAUGUCACUGCCGGCAUCUCAAAAAUAAAAUACAGAUGUUUUUUGUUUUUUGAUGGGGGUACUUCCAAGCUCCAUGUCAAUGCUAGUCAUUUCUGCCAUAGGAGUUUCCUAGGUACAAGGUUGUCAUGUCUCUCAUUUUCCUACAGCUCAUUGCAUUGGAAAACUCGAUUAAUUAGCCCUAAUGACCAAUGACUAAUGCAAGUGCUUAAUAUAUAUACAUAGCAUACGAUCUGUUUUUAUAUCCAAAUCUCUCGUUCUUCUCGAGGGAGCAUAUGUAAUUUUAUUUUUAUUUUUUUGGUUUGGAAAUAUACUUGGCUGGACCUGGACCAUAUGAGAUUCUGACACCAUAUGCUACAAACACUAAUCCAAAGAGCAUCUCUCAUUGGACUAAUUAAUCAGGUGCAGACAUACGUACCCACGCCUGGGGAUAUUAUAUUA